rnacentral:rRNA from 1 species
UCACCUGUUUUUCAAAAACAUGUCUUAAAGAAAAUAAUUUUAAGUCUAAUCUGCUCAAUGAAUUAUUAAAUAGCUGCAGUAUAAAUAACUGUGCUAAGGUAGCAUAAUCAUUUGUUUUUUAAUUAAAAACUCGUAUGAAUGAUUUAAUGAAGUAUAAACUUUCUAAAAUUUAUUAAAUUAAAUUUUUAUUUAAGUAAAAAAAUUUAAAUAAAUUUUAAAGACGAGAAGACCCUAAAGAAUUUUUAUUAAAUAAUUUUUAUAAAAAUUAUUUAAUUUUAAUUGGGGAUAUUUUAAAAUUUAAUUAAUUUUUAAUUAAAUUAAACAUAAAUUUUUGAAUAAAAUAUAAUUUUUUUUAAAAAAUAAAUAAAAUUACCUUAGGGAUAACAGCAUAAUUUUUUUUUUAAGUUCAAAUUUAUAAAAAAGUUUAUGACCUCG